rnacentral:rRNA from 1 species
CCUACGGGAGGCAGCAGUGAGGAAUAUUGGUCAAUGGCCGUAAGGCUGAACCAGCCAAGUCGCGUGAAGGAAGAAGGAUCUAUGGUUUGUAAACUUCUUUUAUAGGGGAAUAAAGGUAUCCACGUGUGGAUAUUUGCAUGUACCCUAUGUAUAAGCAUAGGCUAACCCCGUUCCAGCAGCCGAGGUAAUACGGAAGAUGCGAGCGUUAUCCGGAUUUAUUGGGUUUAGAGGGUGCGUAGGUUGUUUUUUAAGUCAACGGUGAAAGUUUGUGGCUAAACCAUAAAAUUGCCGUUGAAAAUGGAAAACUUGAGUGUGUUAGAGGUAGGCGGAAUGCGAGGUGUAGCAGUGAAAUGCAUAGAUAUCAGGAAGAACAUCGAUGGCGAAGGCAACUAACUAGGACAUAACUGACACUGAAGCACGAAAGCGUGGGGAUCAAACAGGAUUAGAUACCCCAGUAGUC